AGGUAGAGAAUACUCAGGCGCUUGAGAGAACUCGGGUGAAGGAACUAGGCAAAAUGGUGCCGUAACUUCGGGAGAAGGCACGCUGGCAUUAGGUAAAGGGACUUGCUCCCGGCGCCGAAGCCAGUCGCAGAUACCAGCUGGCUGCAACUGUUUAAUAAAAACACAGCACUGUGCAAACACGAAAGUGGACGUAUACGGUGUGACGCCUGCCCGGUGCUGGAAGGUUAAUUGAUGGGGUCAGCCGCAAGGCGAAGCUCUUGAUCGAAGCCCCAGUAAACGGCGGCCGUAACUAUAACGGUCCUAAGGUAGCGAAAUUCCUUGUCGGGUAAGUUCCGACCUGCACGAAUGGCGUAAUGAUGGCCAGGCUGUCUCCACCCGAGACUCAGUGAAAUUGAACUCGCUGUGAAGAUGCAGUGUACCCGCGGCAAGACGGAAAGACCCCGUGAACCUUUACUAUAGCUUGACACUGAACAUUGAGCCUUGAUGUGUAGGAUAGGUGGGAGGCAUAG
rnacentral:rRNA from 1 species